rnacentral:rRNA from 1 species
GACGAACGCUGGCGGCGUGCUUAACACAUGCAAGUCGAACGGAAAGGCCCUGCUUUUGUGGGGUGCUCGAGUGGCGAACGGGUGAGUAACACGUGAGUAACCUGCCCUUGACUUUGGGAUAACUUCAGGAAACUGGGGCUAAUACCGGAUAGGAGCUCCUGCUGCAUGGUGGGGGUUGGAAAGUUUCGGCGGUUGGGGAUGGACUCGCGGCUUAUGAGCUUGUUGGUGGGGUAGUGGCUUACCAAGGCUUUGACGGGUAGCCGGCCUGAGAGGGUGACCGGGCACAGGGGGACGGAGACACGGCGCGGAGUGCUACGGGCGGCAGCAGUGGGGAACGUUGCACAAGGGGCGGAGGCCUGACGCAGCAACGCCGCGUGCGGGAGGACGGCCUUCGGGUUGGAAACAGCUUUCGCCUGGGAAGAAGCGGGAGUGACGGUGAUGGGUAAAGAAGCACCGGCGAACGACGUG